rnacentral:rRNA from 1 species
UAUCUGCAAGUCGAACGAACUUCCGUUAAUUGAUUAUGACGUACUUGUACUGAUUGAGAUUUUAACACGAAGUGAGUGGCGAACGGGUGAGUAACACGUGGGUAACCUGCCCAGAAGUAGGGGAUAACACCUGGAAACAGAUGCUAAUACCGUAUAACAGAGAAAACCGCAUGGUUUUCUUUUAAAAGAUGGCUCUGCUAUCACUUCUGGAUGGACCCGCGGCGUAUUAGCUAGUUGGUGAGGUAAAGGCUCACCAAGGCAGUGAUACGUAGCCGACCUGAGAGGGUAAUCGGCCACAUUGGGACUGAGACACGGCCCAGACUCCUACGGGAGGCAGCAGUAGGGAAUCUUCCACAAUGGACGCAAGUCUGAUGGAGCAACGCCGCGUGAGUGAAGAAGGGUUUCGGCUCGUAAAGCUCUGUUGUUAAAGAAGAACGUGGGUAAGAGUAACUGUUUACCCAGUGACGGUAUUUAACCAGAAAGCCACGGCUAACUACGUGCCAGCAGCCGCGGUAAUACGUAGGUGGCAAGCGUUAUCCGGAUUUAUUGGGCGUAAAGCGAGCGCAGGCGGUCUUUUAAGUCUAAUGUGAAAGCCUUCGGCUCAACCGAAGAAGUGCAUUGGAAACUGGGAGACUUGAGUGCAGAAGAGGACAGUGGAACUCCAUGUGUAGCGGUGAAAUGCGUAGAUAUAUGGAAGAACACCAGUGGCGAAGGCGGCUGUCUGGUCUGCAACUGACGCUGAGGCUCGAAAGCAUGGGUAGCGAACAGGAUUAGAUACCCUGGUAGUCCAUGCCGUAAACGAUGAUUACUAAGUGUUGGAGGGUUCUCCGCCCUUCAGUGCUGCAGCUAAC